ACGUACCGUCCAAACGUUAUUCGGAAUUACUGGGCUUAAAGGGUUUGUAGGCGGCGCUGUUAGUCGGGUGUGAAAUCCCACGGCUUAACCGUGGAAUUGCGCCCGAAACUGCAGUGCUUGAGGGAGACAGAGGUAAGCGGAACUGAUGGUGGAGCGGUGAAAUGCGUUGAUAUCAUCAGGAACACCGGUGGCGAAAGCGGCUUACUGGGUCUCUUCUGACGCUGAGAAACGAAAGCUAGGGUAGCGAAGGGGA
rnacentral:rRNA from 1 species